CCAACCCUUUAAAUCUUUCACACCGGCUACAGAAAUAGCUGCCUGAAAAAGAAAAUCAGAUGCGGCGAGGAGCUCGCAUGAACGCCCUUGUGUGGGCAGGAGCUGGGUGCUAUUUGCUUAGAUACGGUGAAGCCUACAGUUAAAAUACAGACAGACCUCUCUCUAGAAUGUCAACAUUUUAAGCCACUGACAGCACCAGAGCUAACGAGAAUGUUCUGGUCACGUAGCUGUGGCACGAAAGGGCACCAGGAGUUGCCAUGUUUUCAGAUGACAUCUUAGUCAGCUUUGUUUUGGUGGGUUGCUGGGUUUUUUCUUUACCUCCUAUGCAGGCUGUAAACAGAGUGUGAUAUAUGAGGUGACACAAAAGCCAAAGAAUAGCAGCAAAUCUCCUUUCAGGAUAACAUGCGAGUUCUCUCUUUACCCGCAAAGUGCAUUUCUCCUUGACACCUGUGACGUCAUCUGUUUUCAGAAAAUCUGCAGAGCUGGAGGCACCAAAGAAAGAGGGUAGAAACAGAAGGAGGAUGAAGAUCACACACUUAAACGAAGAGACUGGGAUCAAGAGAAACUUGCCAGGUUUCCUAAGCAACCACUGGAGAGUAUCAGAAGAUGCACUACUGAAGGCAGUCAACUGUUUGGAGUAGGGGUGGACUCUAUCACAGGCCUGCAAAGAUCAACAGGCAUCGUUGGGUGGUGGAUGCUCAGAAGCAGCGCCAUGGCCAGAAACUGUGCUGUGUCGCCGGGGAGAACAUGCUAAUAAUGAACACUAUGCACUCAGCAGAGGCUCCCAGCCUCACAGAGCAUUCUGGAUUGAUUCAGUCAGAGCGUGGUGGACCCCACGGCUGUCAUCCGUGGUGCAGCGGGGUAUGCUGUAUGAAGCCUGUGCUAAUGACUCUCAGACACGGUGGAAUCCCUCUUCAGCCACACCCUCUGCAAACAGCCUUGAGUUCCUUUCUCGUGCUCUUUCUACUGAAGUUAAGACUCCAUGGAAUACAUCCGACUCCUAAUGUCCUCAUAUCCAUAAGCCAUGUUCAUCACAGGACCUCAGUACAUACUUGGCAGAUCAAAAAGAAUAAUCCAUCACAGUGAGUAAGCACAUUCAGCCGCUAAACACCGCCCAAGAGUGAAGUCGCCUCUCAGACAUUUGUCCCUUUUUGACCACCGUUUUAAAACGCACUUUUCGAAAUCACGUCUAUCACAGAGUACUCGCGUGGACCUUUGCACUUAGACUUCACGGCAAAACUAUUUCUCGAUACCCACGCGCUUCCCUUAUUUUUCACCCUGCUGUUCCUAACAAAAUCAGGUAGAUGGUACGUGGGCAUAGCACCCCAUCCCGGAACCUGAACAACCCCUACCCCAUGACACUAAUAGAAGCUUCAUUUCUGUCAUGGGAAGAAGAGGAGCCCCAGCUUUAGCUUCGAAGUCAAGGGCAAAGUGGUAGAUGGAAGGGGAGGCAGGGAGAUGGUUGAGAAAUUUGUCUCGGGUAGCCUUACGCACUGAUUGGCAAAGCAUUAACACGGGAGAUAAAAUCAAUAGAAGAAAGGAACUCUUUCUUUAACUUUCUUAAUUUUUUUUUAACAUUUAUUUAUUUUCCCAUUGUGAGCAUAGGGGAUGCGCGAUGACAAUCAUGUCAUUGGAGGUCAGAGGUCAACUUACAGCAGGUCCCUUCCUUUCACCGUGCAUGUCUUGAUGCCGUAACUCAGAACCUCAGGCUCGGUUGCAAGUGUCUAAAACCAGCAGCUCCUCGAUGUGCAUAAACACUGCCUGCACUGCUCUCCACCCCCACCCCAGCACAGCAUCACGCCUCAGUCAUCCUCACACCGUGGAAUGAAAUCCCUCUGACUCGCCACGCUUGCCGUGCGGCCAAAGACAUAAAACCUAACUUCUCUUCAUUACAAAAGUAAAACCCGGAAAGCCGACUCCAGCUCUUUUUCCAGACGCGAGCAAAAGUAUUAUUUAACAAAGACACCUCCUCACACCUUCUCCUGCCGGGUGUCUGACAGGCUGGGAAUGGGACAAGUGAUAUUCUGUAGGAAUAGGGACAGUCAUCCAAAGAGAGGCCAGCAAUUAUCCCUGGGCAAAUUACAAACAAACAAAAAAUUCCCAUGGGCUAUGUUAGAAAUAUAACAGGAAUGCUGUAUUAGCAAAAAUAGAUAAUUUUGGUUUGAAGUUGAUUUAUACAAACAGCUAUAAAGAGUUUUCAAAAUACAUGUGACCUCUGACAUUGCAAUUUCACUUCCAAGACUUUAUUCCUAAGUAAAAAUCAGAAAAAAAUAUACCAAUACACACCUGCUUGAAACUGAUAGAUUUAAAUUUUUUGCAACACAGACUAUCAAACAUACGCAUAUGUAAGAAGACUAUGAUCAGCCAUCGGGUACCCACAUCUGGCCUUGCUGAUCAACGUUUUCUCCAGUUCCUUCUUCAUUCCAUUCCCGUUAUUCUUUUCACCCUCUUUGUUUCCACUAGAACAGUUUAAAAUCAAUGCCGUCUUGUUCAACUCAUAAGUGUUUCAAUCAAACCUCUGGGCA